rnacentral:lncRNA from 1 species
AAGUAUCUUCAGCACCCCUCAAUUCCCAUUAGUGCUCUAUCAAGUCAAGUUGGCGGGCAUUGUGCAUAUAUGACCUUUGAAGUGCAGUAUAUUGUUGAAUGAUCCUUUCAUUGUAACAUCCAUCCCUUUCUAAUGGCUCAUGUUGCACGGGCUCAUCAGUGGUGUCAUGAGCACAAUAUAUACGUGUUCUUGAAUUGUUCAUCGUGUCUGGCUCAUAUUCAUCAACGACUUCAUAAUCGUACUCAUCUUCCACAAUCAUGUUGUGAAGAAUGAUGCACGUCAUCAUGAUGGAUCGAAGCGACUCUACAUCAAACAAUCUGGUAGCACCCCUGAUGAUCGCCCAGCGAGCUUGAAGGAUACCGAAACAACGCUCCACAUCCUUCCUGCACCCCUCUUAACAUCUUGCAAAGUGUUUUUCCUUUGCACUUCGCGGACGUGGCACUGUUUUGAUAAAUGUUGACCACCUUGGGUAAAUGCCAUCAGUUAGGU